rnacentral:rRNA from 1 species
UACGUAGGGCGCAAGCGUUGUCCGGAAUCAUUGGGCGUAAAGAGCGCGUAGGCGGCCCGGUAAGUCUGCUGUAAAAGUCAAAGGCUUAACCUUUGAAAGUCAGUGGAUACUGCCGGGCUAGAGUCCGGAAGAGGCGAGUGGAACUCCUGGUGUAGCGGUGGAAUGCGCAGAUAUCAGGAAGAACACCUAUGGCGAAGGCAGCUCUCUGGGACGGUACUGACGCUGAGACGCGAAAGCGUGGGGAGCGAACAGG